UCCAGGACGUCGUCCAGCCAUCA
rnacentral:siRNA from 1 species